GGGACACGUGGUAUCCUGUCUGAAUAUGGGGGGACCAUCCUCCAAGGCUAAAUACUCCUGACUGACCGAUAGUGAACCAGUACCGUGAGGGAAAGGCGAAAAGAACCCCGGCGAGGGGAGUGAAAAAGAACCUGAAACCGUGUACGUACAAGCAGUGGGAGCACCUUCGGGUGUGACUGCGUACCUUUUGUAUAAUGGGUCAGCGACUUAUAUUCUGUAGCAAGGUUAACCGUAUAGGGGAGCCGCAGGGAAACCGAGUCUUAACUGGGCGUUAAGUUGCAGGGUAUAGACCCGAAACCCGGUGAUCUAGCCAUGGGCAGGUUGAAGGUUGGGUAACACUAACUGGAGGACCGAACCGACUAAUGUUGAAAAAUUAGCGGAUGACUUGUGGCUGGGGGUGAAAGGCCAAUCAAACCGGGAGAUAGCUGGUUCUCCCCG
rnacentral:rRNA from 1 species